UUAUUCAAUUAACUUUUGACUCCGACGCAAGGAUGCAGUGUUUUGAUGACCUCUGGGGGGAAUGCCGCGAACGGCAGGGUCGCCCCCAAAGCAACGAGAUGUGUUCACAAAGGGUUGGAGGUCGGGAUUGCUCCCUCACUCGGUAAUGAUCCCUCCGCAGGUUCACCUACGGAGA
rnacentral:misc_RNA from 1 species